GCCGCCUUAGCUCAGCUGGUAGAGCACUACCAUGGUAAGGUAGGGGUCGUCGGUUCAAGUCCGACAGGUGGCU
rfam:Vagococcus lutrae LBD1 adhBo-supercont1.1, whole genome shotgun sequence.